GUGGGUUAGCUCAGUGGGUAGAGCUUUGGCCUUCUGACCGAAAGGUCCCGGGAUCGACUCUCGCCGGAGGCAGACA
rnacentral:tRNA from 1 species